UUUUCUCUGUCAAAUAAAUAAAUAAAAUCUUUAAAAAAACAAAAGAGGACCAUUUUAGGCAUAGAAUUACAGACAUUUCUGCUAAGGUUAGUGAUGAAGAAUUAGUGUUCUGAGUUUCUUCAGUAUGGCAGUGGAACAAGAGACACAAAUUCUUUUUUUAUAGUGAAAGCUACUUUUUAGUGGUCUUAUAUAGACUUAAAUCCAAGCUGUUCUAUUGCAUUAUGUAUUGUCAGUGGAAUGCAACUUACAAACCUAGCAUUUCUCCAGCAGUUGUAACUGUAAGUCAGAACCAUUUGAUGAGUAAAAAUGUUUGUUAUUUUAAUGGCAUCUGGAAUAUCCAAACAGUAAACUUUUGUUUAAAAAAAAAAACAUUCAGGGGCACCCUGGCUGGCUCAGUCCAUACAGCAUGAGACUGUUGAUUCUCAGGGUGAUACAUUCAAGCUCCAUGUUGGAUGUAGAGAUUACUUAAAAAUAAAAUCUUAAA